AUUGAACGCUGGCGGCAUGCCUACACAUGCAAGUCGAACGGCAGCACGGGUGCUUGCACCUGGUGGCGAGUGGCGAACGGGUGAGUAAUACAUCGGAACGUACCUUAUCGUGGGGGAUAACGCAGCGAAAGCUGUGCUAAUACCGCAUACGCCCUGAGGGGGAAAGCGGGGGAUCGAAAGACCUCGCGCGAUUAGAGCGGCCGAUGCCUGAUUAGCUUGUUGGUGGGGUAAAAGCCCACCAAGGCGACGAUCAGUAGCCGGUCUGAGAGGACGAUCAGCCACACUGGGACUGAGACACGGCCCAGACUCCUACGGGAGGCAGCAGUGGGGAAUUUUGGACAAUGGGGGCAACCCUGAUCCAGCAAUGCCGCGUGAGUGAAGAAGGCCUUCGGGUUGUAAAGCUCUUUUGUCAGGGAAGAAACACCGGCUCUAACACAGUCCGGGAAUGACGGUACCUGAAGAAUAAGCACCGGCUAACUACGUGCCAGCAGCCGCCGUAA
rnacentral:rRNA from 1 species